rnacentral:rRNA from 1 species
AUGGCCAAGGAGUACUCGGAGAGUGGUGGUCUGGUGGGGCUGAUGCCGUUCGUGGCCAAGACGUACAGCAUGGUGGAGGACCCGGCGACUGACGACGUGAUCGCAUGGGGAAGAGGCGGCAACAGCUUCAUCGUGGCCGACCUCUUGGUCUUCUCGGGCACGCUGCUUCCCGCGCACUUCAAGCACUGCAAAUUCUCUAACUUCGUUCGGCAGCUCAAUACCUACGGAUUCCAGAAGGUGGAUCCGAAUAGAUGGGAGUACGCCCAUGUGUUGUUCCUUCGGGGGCAUGCGCACCUCCUGCACCAGAUUGUCCGGCUCACCAACAACAACAGCAAGCGCAAGCCCAAGGACGACGACGACCACAACAACACGAUGGUGGCCACUGAGGUGAUCCUGCUAAAGCAGGAGCAGAAGGCCAUCAAGGACCGCUUGGCGGCGAUGUCGCGCCAGGUGCGGGAGACGGAGCGCCGGCGGAAGCAGAUGCUCGACGUCCUCCUGAAGGUCGUUCGAGACCCCGAGGUGCUGCGCCCUCUCCUAGGCAACAACGAGAGCGAGGAGAAAGGCGCGGAGGUCAAGAGGCUGCGACUGCAGCUUCUGGACAGGGAAGGCCAGGUGGGCAGCACCAACAGCAUGUCCGUCGACGGGCCGCUCUACGACACCACCCAGGACGAAGUCUUUGUGCCGGAAACCGGCAUCGACUUCACUGGCUUCUACACUGGAGGCGGCUUCGUGGCGGACGGCAGCGGCGAGGACCCGUCGUACGCGUUCCCCAUGGACAACGACUACUAA